CCUACGGGUGGCUGCAGUGGGGGAUAUUGCACAAUGGAGGAAACUCUGAUGCAGCGACGCCGCGUGAGGGAAGACGGUCUUCGGAUUGUAAACCCCUGUUUUUGGGGAAGAAAAUGACGGUACCCAACGAGGAAGCACCGGCUAACUACGUGCCAGCAGCCGCGGUAAUACGUAGGGAGCGAGCGUUGGCCGGAAUUACUGGGUGUAAAGGGAGCGUAGGCGGGCGAGAAAGUUGAAUGUUAAAUCCAACGGCUUAACUGUUAGCUGCGUUUAAAACUUCUUGUCUUGAGUGAAGUAGAGGCAGGUGGAAUUCCUGGUGUAGGGGUGAAAUGCGUAGAUAUUAAGAGGAAUACCAGUGGCGAAGGCGACCUGCUAGGAUAUAACUGACGCUGAGGCGCGAAAGCGUGGGGAGCAAACAGGAUUAGAUACCCUUGUAGUC
rnacentral:rRNA from 1 species